rnacentral:lncRNA from 1 species
AAAAUAGGGAUAACGGUUCAUACAUAACGGUUUUGGUCAAAAACCGUUAUGUAUGAGCGCAUUUUUAGUGAUACAUAACAGUUUUACAAAACUCUGUUAUGUAUGUGGUGUUGUCUUAAUGUAUUUAUAACAGUAUUAAGUUAAUCGUUAUGUAUUAGCGUUAUCUAUUCGUGCUAUAUAUAACGGUAUUACUGAAUCGUUAAGCCAUACGUUAUGUAUGAACAUCUAUUUAAUAACGGUUGUUUCAACGUUAAGACAACCGUUAUAUAUGAGCAUUCAUUUAUAACGGUAGUUCCAACCGUUAUUCCCUAUUGUUAUCUAUCAUCAUCUUUUAUUUUUUAUUUUAUUAAAACUAAAAUAUAGUAGUAUCUAUUCAAAUUAACUUGUGC